ensembl:lncRNA
UCUUACCGCCGCGGCGCUCGUUAGAGGCGAUGGCUAAUUAGUUUUGCGCCUGAAACUUGAGGUUUCACUCCUCCGACGACCAAAAAAAAAAAAAGAUAAAAUCAAGCAUGACCUUAAUAACCAGAUGAAAAGGGCCGUGCGGAAAGAGACAGAACGUGUUGCAUCAGCGUUUUGUUGAUCUGUUUAUCCAGCUGUGUGUGGGAGCGCGCUGAGCUCUGUUCUCCAGUCAGCAGGAUAACGUGCGAAUGUGCAGCCCUGUUGCUUUUAACACAUGUGGAGCGAAUGGAGGCGACCUGUGGAGGCCACUGGCUGUGAACAGCGGCGUGUGACUGUGAGCAGACAGACUCUGUUGCUGCUGUCAGGUGGAGGGUGAAUAACGUGUUAACGACUUAAACCAGCGGAGAGCGAGUGUGAGGACGACCGGAGAGCCAGGCGAGAGGACAGAGGCGGUGGAGUAAGAAUCCACACUGCCCAUCUGUAUCUAGGCCACAGACUGAGAACAGCGAGGGUCCUCGAGGGAGGAUAAACAUGCAGCUCGCCGUACAACAACAACAAGCAGUGGAAUGGACCUGCUAGAAAACACAGUCUAAUGCAAUCAUGACCAUGAAUUAGCAACAAAAAAUGUGAUUCUGUUUACUUUCUGAAUGCACAGUGAUCUUUUUAUGAACGAUUCAUAGGUGCAUGUUAUUCCAAAAACGUGAUGUCAAAAAAUCAGGGUUAUUAAACUAAAACCAAAACCAU